AAGUGCAUGUGCUUUAAUAAUAAUAAAAAAAAGGAAAAAGUACAUCAGUGAAGUGGUUGGUGUAGUAAGAUGCUUAAAACGUACUUUGCACCUUGCCGUCCACUUGUAGCUGUUUGUCCACUAGAGGAAUUUGCCAACUGGCGUAAAUAAACCAAGUGCCGUUUUCCAGAAUAGGAUUCGGCACCCAGUAUUAAUUUAUAUAACUCCGUCAUAAAUUAUAAUAUAAUUGAUAUAAAACCCAGUUAUAAUUUAUAUUAAACCCGGUAUUAAGCUGAAUAAAAUGACCCAGCCAUAAUGUAUAAUAACCCAGUGGUAGAAUUUUAAAUUAAUUUAAAAUUAAACUUCAACACACACAACUGCUUGAUUAACGGCCAACCCCCAAAAGCUCCAAGUCGCAGCUGUGCUGGACACAUCAGCUGUCUGGGCAACGCAAACAUAUGAGCUGUUGCUAGCUGCAGCCGCUCAUUGAGCACAGGAGAAUUGCUUCCCAGCAGGUGGUGUUUCUACUGCAAAACACCUGCGUCCGGCAGCCUUGCGAUCUCCGUUGGCUAUUUGCUCCGCACUUGUGGUGGCAUCGAUGCCGAGUAUCUGCGUCACCCAGGAGGAAGGCGAACGGCAGCUUAU